rnacentral:rRNA from 1 species
AAUAGAUACCCUGGUAGUCCAUGCCGUAAACGUUGGGAACUAGGUGUGGGUCUCAUUCCACGAGAUCCGUGCCGCAGCUAACGCAUUAAGUUCCCCGCCUGGGGAGUACGGCCGCAAGGCUAAAACUCAAAGGAAUUGACGGGGGCCCGCACAAGCGGCGGAGCAUGCGGAUUAAUUCGAUGCAACGCGAAGAACCUUACCAAGGCUUGACAUACACCGGAAUCACUCAGAGAUGGGUGCGUCUUCGGACUGGUGUACAGGUGGUGCAUGGUUGUCGUCAGCUCGUGUCGUGAGAUGUUGGGUUAAGUCCCGCAACGAGCGCAACCCUCGUUCUAUGUUGCCAGCACGUCAUGGUGGGGACUCAUAGGAGACUGCCGGGGUCAACUCGGAGGAAGGUGGGGAUGACGUCAAAUCAUCAUGCCCCUUAUGUCUUGGGCUUCACGCAUGCUACAAUGGCCGGUACAGAGGGCUGCGAAACCGCGAGGUGGAGCGAAUCCCAAAAAACCGGUCUCAGUUCGGAUUGGGGUCUG